rnacentral:rRNA from 1 species
AACGAACGCUGGCGGCAUGCCUAACACAUGCAAGUCGAACGAGACCUUCGGGUCUAGUGGCGCACGGGUGCGUAACGCGUGGGAACCUGCCCUUAGGUUCGGAAUAACUCCCCGAAAGGGGUGCUAAUACCGGAUAAUGUCUUCGGACCAAAGAUUUAUCGCCUUUGGAUGGGCCCGCGUUGGAUUAGCUAGUUGGUAGGGUAAAAGCCUACCAAGGCGACGAUCCAUAGCUGGUCUGAGAGGAUGAUCAGCCACACUGGGACUGAGACACGGCCCAGACGAGGGCGGGAGGCGGAAGGGGAGAAUAUGGGGCGGAGGCGGACAUACUGCGCCAGCGCUGCAUGGUGAGGUCGGAAGGGCUUAGAGUAUUGAGGCUCUGGGCCGAGUUGUGAAAAUGAGGGUGGAGGGAAAAAAGGCUCCGACUACACCGGCGCCAGCGCCGCGGUCGACGGAAGAGCAAGUGUCUGAGC